UACGGAGGGUGCAAGCGUUAAUCGGAAUUACUGGGCGUAAAGCGCACGUAGGUGGUUUGUUAAGCUAGCUGUGAAAUCCCCGGGCUCAACCUGGGCACUGCAGUUAGAACUGGCAAGCUAGAGUAGGGUAGAGGGGUGUGGAAUUCCAGGUGUAGCGGUGAAAUGCGUAGAUAUCUGGAGGAACAUCAGUGGCGAAGGCAGCUGCCUGGCCUAACACUGACGCUGAGGUGCGAAAGCGUGGGGAGCAAACAGG
rnacentral:rRNA from 1 species